GAUGAACGCUGGCGGCGUGCCUAAUACAUGCAAGUCGAGCGAACAGACGAGGAGCUUACUCCUCUGACGUUAGCGGCGGACGGGUGAGUAACACGUGGAUAACCUACCUAUAAGACUGGGAUAACUUCGGGAAACCGGAGCUAAUACCGGAUAACAUGUUGAACCGCAUGGUUCAACAGUGAAAGACGGUCUUGCUGUCACUUAUAGAUGGAUCCGCGCCGCAUUAGCUAGUUGGUAAGGUAACGGCUUACCAAGGCAACGAUGCGUAGCCGACCUGAGAGGGUGAUCGGCCACACUGGAACUGAGACACGGUCCAGACUCCUACGGGAGGCAGCAGUAGGGAAUCUUCCGCAAUGGGCGAAAGCCUGACGGAGCAACGCCGCGUGAGUGAAGAAGGUCUUCGGAUCGUAAAACUCUGUUAUUAGGGAAGAACAAAUGUGUAAGUAACUAUGCACGUCUUGACGGUACCUAAUCAGAAAGCCACGGCUAACUACGUGCCAGCAGCCGCGGUAAUACGUAGGUGGCAAGCGUUAUCCGGAAUUAUUGGGCGUAAAGCGCGCGUAGGCGGUUUUUUAAGUCUGAUGUGAAAGCCCACGGCUCAACCGUGGAGGGUCAUUGGAAACUGGAAAACUUGAGUGCAGAAGAGGAAAGUGGAAUUCCAUGUGUAGCGGUGAAAUGCGCAGAGAUAUGGAGGAACACCAGUGGCGAAGGCGACUUUCUGGUCUGUAACUGACGCUGAUGUGCAAAAGCGUGGGGAUCAAACAGGAUUAGAUACCCUGGUAGUCCACGCCGUAAACGAUGAGUGCUAAGUGUUAGGGGGUUUCCGCCCCUUAGUGCUGCAGCUAACGCAUUAAGCACUCCGCCUGGGGAGUACGACCGCAAGGUUGAAACUCAAAGGAAUUGACGGGGACCCGCACAAGCGGUGGAGCAUGUGGUUUAAUUCGAAGCAACGCGAAGAACUUUACCAAAUCUUGACAUCCUCUGACCCCUCUAGAGAUAGAGUUUUCCCCUUCGGGGGACAGAGUGACAGGUGGUGCAUGGUUGUCGUCAGCUCGUGUCGUGAGAUGUUGGGUUAAGUCCCGCAACGAGCGCAACCCUUAAGCUUAGUUGCCAUCAUUAAGUUGGGCACUCUAAGUUGACUGCCGGUGACAAACCGGAGGAAGGUGGGGAUGACGUCAAAUCAUCAUGCCCCUUAUGAUUUGGGCUACACACGUGCUACAAUGGACAAUACAAAGGGUAGCGAAACCGCGAGGUCAAGCAAAUCCCAUAAAGUUGUUCUCAGUUCGGAUUGUAGUCUGCAACUCGACUACAUGAAGCUGGAAUCGCUAGUAAUCGUAGAUCAGCAUGCUACGGUGAAUACGUUCCCGGGUCU
rnacentral:rRNA from 1 species